rnacentral:rRNA from 1 species
ACGGGUGAGUAACACGUGGGCAACCUGCCCUUGAGACUGGGAUAACUUCGGGAAACCGGAGCUAAUACCGGAUAAUAUAAGGAACCUCCUGGUUCCUUGUUGAAAGAUGGUUUCGGCUAUCACUUAAGGAUGGGCCCGCGGCGCAUUAGCUAGUCGGUGAGGUAACGGCUCACCAAGGCGACGAUGCGUAGCCGACCUGAGAGGGUGAUCGGCCACACUGGGACUGAGACACGGCCCAGACUCCUACGGGAGGCAGCAGUAGGGAAUCUUCCACAAUGGACGAAAGUCUGAUGGAGCAACGCCGCGUGAGUGAUGAAGGCCUUCGGGUCGUAAAGCUCUGUUGUUAGGGAAGAACAAGUGCGAGAGUAACUGCUCGCACCUUGACGGUACCUAACCAGAAAGCCACGGCUAACUACGUGCCAGCAGCCGCGGUAAUACGUAGGUGGCAAGCGUUAUCCGGAAUUAUUGGGCGUAAAGCGCGCGCAGGUGGUUUCUUAAGUCUGAUGUGAAAGCCCACGGCUCAACCGUGGAGGGUCAUUGGAAACUGGGGAACUUGAGUG